CAGCAGCCACGGGAAUACGAAGGGUGCAAGCAUUAAUCGGAAUUACUGGGCGUAAAGCGUGCGUAGGCGGUGAGUUAAGUCUGCUGUGAAAUCCCCGGGCUCAACCUGGGAAUGGCAGUGGAUACUGGCUCGCUAGAGUGUGUCAGAGGAUGGUGGAAUUCCCGGUGUAGCGGUGAAAUGCGUAGAGAUCGGGAGGAACAUCAGUGGCGAAGGCGGCCAUCUGGGACAACACUGACGCUGAGGCACGAAAGCGUGGGGAGCAAACAGGAUUAGAUACCCGUGUAGUCCCUGUCUCUUAUAC
rnacentral:rRNA from 1 species